rnacentral:rRNA from 1 species
AAUAUUUGAUAUUAAAAAUUUAAUACUUCUUAAAAGGAACAAUUCAAACUUUAAUUGAAUGGAAGUUUUAAGGCAAAAACAGGUCUGUGAUGCCCUUCGAUGUUCUGGGCUGCACGCGCGUUACACUGAUAUGUUCAAUGAGUUUUUAAAUUUCCUAGUCUGAAAAGACGUGGUAAACUUAGAAAAACAUAUCGUGAUUGGAAUAGUAUUUUGUAAUUAUCGCACUUGAACGAGGAAUUCCUAGUAGGGGCAAUUCAUCAAAUUGCCCCGAUUACGUCCCCGCCCUUUGUACACACCGCCCGUCGCUUCUACCGAUUGAAUAAUGCGAUGAGGAAUUCAGGAUCGAUUAGAAUUAAUUGUUUGAAAGGAUAAUUAAGACUAGUUGCUAAUUUAUUCAAAUCUUAUUAUUUAGAGGAAGGAGA